rnacentral:rRNA from 1 species
AUUGAACGCUGGCGGCAUGCCUUACACAUGCAAGUCGAACGGCAGCACGGGUGCUUGCACCUGGUGGCGAGUGGCGAACGGGUGAGUAAUACAUCGGAACAUGUCCUGUAGUGGGGGAUAGCCCGGCGAAAGCCGGAUUAAUACCGCAUACGAUCUACGGAUGAAAGCGGGGGACCUUCGGGCCUCGCGCUAUAGGGUUGGCCGAUGGCUGAUUAGCUGGUUGGUGGGGUAAAGGCCUACCAAGGCGACGAUCAGUAGCUGGUCUGAGUGGACGACCAGCCACACUGUGACUGAGACACGGCCCAGACUCCUACGGGAGGCAGCAGUGGGGAAUUUUGGACAAUGGGCGAAAGCCUGAUCCAGCAAUGCCGCGUGUGUGAAGAAGGCCUUCGGGUUGUAAAGCACUUUUGUCCGGAAAGAAAUCCUUGGCCCUAAUACGGUCGGGGGAUGACGGUACCGGAUGAAUAAGCACCGGCUAACUACGUG